CGCGUAGGUGGUAGUGCAAGUCUGAGGUGGAAUCUUAGGGCUUAACCCUAAAAUUGCCUUGGAAACUGCAUUACUUGAGUCAGUGAGGGGAGGGUAGAAUUCCUGGUGUAGCGGUGAAAUGCGUAGAUAUCAGGAGGAAGGCCGGUGGCGAAGGCGGCCCUCUGGCGCUGAACUGACACUGAGGCGCGAAAGCGUGGGGAGCAAACAGGAUUAGAUACCCUGGUAGUCCACGCCCUAAACGGUGGGUACUAGGUGUAGGGCUCGUAAGGGUUCUGUGCCGAAGCGAAAGCAUUAAGUACCCCGCCUGGGGAGUACGGCCGCAAGGUUGAA
rnacentral:rRNA from 1 species